UAAGGAAUAUUGGACAAUGGGCGAAAGCCUGAUCCAGCCAUGCCGCGUGAAUGAUGAAGGCCUUCGGGUUGUAAAGUUCUUUCGGUUAUGAAGAUAAUGACGGUAGUAACAGAAGAAGCUCCGGCUAAACUCGUGCCAGCAGCCGCGGUAAUACGAGUGGAGCAAGCGUUGUUCGGAAUCACUGGGCUUAAAGCGUGCGCAGGCGGCCAUGAAAGUCAGGAGUGAAAUCCCGGGGCUUAACCCCGGAAUUGCUUUUGAAACUCCAUGGCUAGAAUCCCGGAGAGGUUAGCAGAAUUCCGAGUGUAGAGGUGAAAUUCGCAGAUAUUCGGAGGAAUACCAGUGGCGAAGGCGGCUAACUGGACGGGCAUUAACGCUCAUGCACGAAAGCGUGGGGAGCAAA
rnacentral:rRNA from 1 species